UACGGGGGGAGCAAGCGUUGUUCGGAUUUACUGGGCGUAAAGAGCUCGUAGGCGGUCUGUUGCGUCGGCUGUGAAAACCCGGGGCUCAACCCCGGGCCUGCAGCCGAUACGGGCAGACUAGAGUUCGGCAGGGGAGACUGGAAUUCCUGGUGUAGCGGUGAAAUGCGCAGAUAUCAGGAGGAACACCAAUGGCGAAGGCAGCUCGCUGGAACGGUACUGACGCUGAGGCGCGAAAGCGUGGGGAGCGAACAGG
rnacentral:rRNA from 1 species